GCCCUCAGGAGGGGGAUAACGGUUGGAAACGACCGCUAAUACCCCAUAUGCCGAAAGGUGAAAUGGAUUUCGCCUGAGGAUGAGCCCGCGUCUGAUUAGCUAGUUGGUAAGGUAAUGGCUUACCAAGGCUUCGAUCAGUAGCUGGUCUGAGAGGAUGAUCAGCCACACUGGGACUGAGACACGGCCCAGACUCCUACGGGAGGCAGCAGUGGGGAAUUUUCCGCAAUGGGCGAAAGCCUGACGGAGCAACGCCGCGUGAGGGACGAAGGCCUCUGGGCUGUAAACCUCUUUUCCCAAGGAAGAAGAUAUGACGGUACUUGAGGAAUAAGCCACGGCUAAUUCCGUGCCAGCAGCCGCGGUAAUACGGGAGUGGCAAGCGUUAUCCG
rnacentral:rRNA from 1 species